rnacentral:misc_RNA from 1 species
UCCGGUUUGGCACCGGCAGUCUUCCUAGAGUCCCACCAUUACGUGCUGGCAACUAAGGACAGGGGUUGCGCUCGUUGCGGGACUUAACCCAACAUCUCUCGACACGAGCUGACGACAGCCAUGCGCCACCUGUGCACGACCCUUACGGACCUCCCAUCUCUGGAAGAUUUCCGUGCAUGUCAAGCCUAGGUAAGGUUCUUCGCGUUGCAUCGAAUUAAGCAACAUGCUCCGCUGCUUGUGCGGGUCCCCGUCAAUUCCUUUGAGUUUUAGCCUUGCGGCCGUACUCCCCAGGCGGGGCACUUAAUGCGUUAGCUCCGGCACGGGAGGAGUCGACACCUCCCACACCUAGUGCCCAUCGUUUACGGCGUGGACUAC